rnacentral:rRNA from 1 species
CACGUAGGGUGCGAGCGUUGUCCGGAAUUAUUGGGCGUAAAGAGCUCGUAGGCGGUGUGUCGCGUCGGCCGUGAAAACCUGCAGCUUAACUGUGGGCGUGCGGUCGAUACGGGCAUCACUGGAGUUCGGCAGGGGAGACUGGAAUUCCUGGUGUAGCGGUGAAAUGCGCAGAUAUCAGGAGGAACACCGGUGGCGAAGGCGGCUUCCUGGGGUGUACCUGACGCUGAGGCGCGAAAGCGUGGGGAGCGAACCGG